AUUGAACGCUGGCGGCAUGCCUUACACAUGCAAGUCGAACGGCAGCGGACCUUCGGGUGCCGGCGAGUGGCGAACGGGUGAGUAAUAUAUCGGGAACGUACCUUUCAGUGGGGGAUAACGUAGCGAAAGUUACGCUAAUACCGCAUAUUCUGUGAGCAGGAAAGCAGGGGAUCGCAAGACCUUGCGCUGAUUGAGCGGCCGAUAUCAGAUUAGCUAGUUGGUGAGGUAAAGGCUCGACCAAGGCGACGAUCUGUAGCGGGUCUGAGAGGAUGAUCCGCCACACUGGAACUGAGACACGGUCCAGACUCCUACGGGAGGCAGCAGUGGGGAAUUUUGGACAAUGGGCGCAAGCCUGAUCCAGCCAUGCCGCGUGAGUGAAGAAGG
rnacentral:rRNA from 1 species